UACGUAGGGCGCAAGCGUUUAUCCGGAAUUAUUGGGCGUAAAGAGCUCGUAGGCGGUUUGUCGCGUCUGCCGUGAAAGUCCGGGGCUCAACUCCGGAUCUGCGGUGGGUACGGGCAGACUAGAGUGAUGUAGGGGAGACUGGAAUUCCUGGUGUAGCGGUGAAAUGCGCAGAUAUCAGGAGGAACACCGAUGGCGAAGGCGGUUCUCUGGGCAUUACCUGACGCUGAGGAGCGAAAGUGUGGGGAGCGAACAGG
rnacentral:rRNA from 1 species